rnacentral:rRNA from 1 species
CUACGGGUGGCAGCAGUGGGGAAUAUUGGACAAUGGGCGAAAGCCUGAUCCAGCAAUGCCGCGUGUGUGAAGAAGGCCUGAGGGUUGUAAAGCACUUUCAGUUAGGAAGAAAAGCAGAGUGUUAAUACCACUUUGUCUUGACGUUACUAACAGAAGAAGCACCGGCUAACUCCGUGCCAGCAGCCGCGGUAAUACGGAGGGUGCAAGCGUUAAUCGGAAUUACUGGGCGUAAAGCGCGCGUAGGCGGUUUAGUAAGUUGGAUGUGAAAGCCCUGGGCUUAACCUGGGAACUGCAUUUGAUACUGCUAGGCUAGAGUAUGGUAGAGGAAAGUGGAAUUUCAGGUGUAGCGGUGAAAUGCGUAGAUAUCUGAAGGAACAUCAGUGGCGAAGGCGACUUUCUGGACCAAUACUGACGCUGAGGUGCGAAAGCGUGGGUAGCAAACAGGAUUAGAUACCCGCGUAGUC